UCUACGGAGAGUUUGAUCCUGGCUCAGGACGAACGCUGGCGGCGUGCUUAACACAUGCAAGUCGAACGGUGAACCUUCUUCGGGAGGGGAUCAGUGGCGAACGGGUGAGUAACACGUGGGC
rnacentral:rRNA from 1 species